CUAAUGUGUCUUGGCUAAAGUGUCUUGGCUAAGGUGUCUUGGCUAAGGUGUCUUGGCUAAUGUGUCUUGGCUAAGGUGUCUUGGCUAAGGGGUCUUGGCUAAUGUGUCUUGGCUAAUGUGUCUUGGCUAAUGUGUCUUGGCUAAGGUGUCUUGGCUAAUGUGUCUUGGCUAAGGUGUCUCGGCUAAUGUGUCUUGGCUAAUGUGUCUUGGCUAAGGUGUCUUGGCUAAUGUGUCUUGGCUAAGGUGUCUUGGCUAAGGUGUCUUGGCUAAGGUGUCUUGGCUAAGGUGUCUUGGCUAAAGUGUCUUGGCUAAUGUGUCUUGGCUAAGGUGUCUUGGCUAAUGUGUCUUGGCUAAUGUGUCUUGGCUAAUGUGUCUUGGCUAAUGUGUCUUGGCUAAUGUGUCUUAGCUAAGGUGUCUUGGCUAAUGUGUCUUGGCUAAUGUGUCUUGGCUAAUGUGUUUUGGCUAAGGUGUCUUGGCUAAUGUGUCUUGGCUAAUGUGUCUUGGCUAAUGUGUCUUGGCUAAUGUGUUUUGGCUAAGGUGUCUUGGCUAAUGUGUCUUGGCUAAUGUGUCUUGGCUAAUGUGUCUUGGCUAAGGUGUCCUGGCUAAGGUGUCUUGGCUAAGGUGUCUUGGCUAAGGUGUCUUGGCUAAUGUGUCUUGGCUAAUGUGUCUUGGCUAAGGUGUCUUGGCUAAUGUGUCUUGGCUCAGGUGUCUUGGCUAAUGUGUCUUGGCUAAUGUGUCUUGGCUAAUGUGUCUUGGCUAAGGUGUCUUGGCUAAGGUGUCAUGGCUAAUGUGUCUUGGCUAAUGUGUCUUGGCUAAUGUGUCUUGGCUAAGGUGUCUUGGCUAAGGUGUCUUGGCUAAUGUGUCUUGGCUAAGGUGUCUUGGCUAAGGUGUCUUCGCUAAUGUGUCUUGGCUAAGGUGUCUUGGCUAAUGUGUCUUGGCUAAGGUGUCUUGGCUAAUGUG